rnacentral:rRNA from 1 species
CAAUAGCGUAUAUUAAAGUUGUUGCGGUUAAAAAGCUCGUAGUUGGAUUUCUGCCGAGGACGACCGGUCCGCCCUCUGGGUGAGUAUCUGGUUCGGCCUGGGCAUCUUCUUGGAGAACGUAUCUGCACUUGACUGUGUGGUGCGGUAUCCAGGACUUUUACUUUGAGGAAAUUAGAGUGUUUCAAGCAGGCACACGCCUUGAAUACAUUAGCAUGGAAUAAUAAUAUAGGACUUUGGUUCUAUUUUGUGGUUUCUAGGACUAAAGUAAUGAUUGAUAGGAUAGUUGGGGGUGCUAGUAUUCAGCGGCCAGAGGUGAAAUUCUUGGAUUUGUUAAAGACGGACUACUGCGAAAGCAUUUGCCAAGGAUGUUUUUCAUUGAUCAAGAACGAAAGUUAGGGGAUCGAAGACGAUCAGAUACCA